UUUUUUUUAAUUUUAUAAAUAUAUAUUUUUUAAUUUCUGCUCAUUUGUGUCCAACAGGCUGGACAACAGCGGCAUCGCCUUCCUGAUCAUGGGCUCGUUCGUGCCAUGGCUCUACUCCUCCUUCUACUGCUCGCCGCAGCCGUGCUUCAUCUACCUGCUGGUGGUGUGCGUGCUGGGCCUUUCCGCCAUCACCGUAUCCCAGUGCGACUUUUUCGCCACGCCGCAGUCCCGAGGAGUCCGCGCAGGUGUGUUUGUGGGCUUGGGGCUGAGCGGCGUGGUGCCCACCCUGCACUUUGUCAUCAGCGAGGGUCUCAUCAGGGCCACCACCAUCGGACAGAUAGGCCUUUCCUCAGGGCCUGCCUCUCCUUCGCUCCGUUUCGGUUGUGUUUACCGAACGACGUAAGGCAAGAGCAAGCACGGAAAUACAGGAGACAUUAAAAUUUAUUUUUAAACAUUUUUUAUGAUUAUUAUUUUUUACGGUUGAGUCAUUUAAAACGUUGCCUGUGUCUUUCGACGCAUAUUAACGAGGUGCAGAAUUUAUUUUUCAAGUUCUUUGAGCUGAGACCCGGAACUAAAAGGCGGACCAAAACCGGAAACGAGUCAUUGUUUGCCUUGGCAUUUUGUUUGCUCCUAUUUUUGAUGUUCUUCCAACACGUGAGCGAAGUUAGUUUUGGUACUUUCGAUCUAAGUCAGGCAUUUUUGGAUUUUUUUUUUUAAUGCGCAGGAGACGACCACAGUGCAGGAACGUUGUCUCCGAGUCGGCUGCUGGCUGUCUGCGUGCAAAAGUGGCGACGUGUUGUGCAAAGCCUUCUACUUUUCGUUGCCUGGUGAAGUCAGCCUGUGACAGCAGAGCUGGGCCAACACGUGGACCUAAGACAAAAAUGAGAUUGGUGAGUCUCAAGUCCACUUCUUGUGCAGCAAAUGCAAUUUGAAAUGUGAUCAAACUAACCAGCACAGAAGUUGUCUGGGACUCUGAACAAGUGCUCGCACGGCCACAUCACGCUCAGCUCCUGCGCAACAAACAAUAUGGGGUCAAAGAAGGGAUUGAAAAAACUGUCAAGCAUU